AAAAAACUGGAAUGAGACUGAGGGGAGUAGGGUUUUGAGAAGAGGAAUUGCCUAUCUGCAGGCAUUCUGAUCGCCAUUCAUCAAUCAUGGGUAUUUCUCGGGAUUCUAUGCACAAGAGGCGUGCCACUCGAGGAAAGAAGAAGGCUUGAAGGAAGAAAUGAAAGUUGAGCUCGGCAGACAACCUGCAAACGCGAAGGUCUAGUAACAAGACAGUUUGCAGGGUCAGAGUUCGUGGAGGCAAUGUGAAGUGGCGCGCUGAGGCUGGACACAGGAAACUACUCUUGGGGGAGUGAUGCUGUCACGUAUUCUGGAUGUCGUUUAUAAUGCAUCCAACAAUGACUCUGGUUAAGGUGCCAUUGUUUAAGUGGAACCCGUCCCUUCAAGCAGUGGUAUCUUCAGCAUUAUGGAGCUGAAAUUGGUCGUAAGAAGAAGACUGCUGCAAAGAAGGAAGGAGAGGUGUGACCUUGAAUCAUGUAAAUUGCUCGUUUUCACUGGAUUUCGGAGGCUGAGACUGCUGUGACUGAAGAGGCGAAGAAGAGCAACCAUGUCCUAAGAAAACUAGAAAAACGUCAGCAAGACCGUAAAAUUGACCAACAUAUUGAGGAACAAUUUGGUGGUGGCCGGCUGUUUAUCUCCUCUCGCCCAGGACAGUGUGGACGAUGUGAUGGGUAUGUAAUAACACUACACCUAUAGAUCAUAUGGUAUGGUAUCUGAUCUGAUAUGGCAAUGGAUGUGUCUGUUUUUUCAGUUAUAUUUUAGAGGGAAAGGAGUUGUAGUUUUACAUGAAGAAACUUCAGAAAAAGAAGGGAGUUUCCAACUGAACAUCAGUGACAUGAUUUCUGAAUGAAAUUUCAACUUAGUAUGAUUGAAAAAGCUUAUUGGUUUACCUUGUUUAUACUUGUUAAAAUGGAUGAAAUUGUGUUGCUUUUCCUAGCCUUAUUUUAGAAUAUCAAGGAUU